GGACGGGGACGGGUGUGCGGACGAUUAGCUAGUUGGCGGGGCAACGGCCCACCAAGGCGACGAUCGUUAGCUGAUGUGAGAGCAUGGUCAGCCACACGGGCACUGAGACACGGGCCCGACUCAUACGGGAGGCAGCAGUAAGGAAUAUUGGUCAAUGGGCGCAGGCCUGAACCAGCCAUGCCGCGUGGAGGACGAAGGCCCUCCGGGUCGUAAACUCCUUUUACCCGGGACGAAAAAAGCCCUUUUGAGGGCACUUGACGGUACCGGGGGAAUAAGCACCGGCUAACUCCGUGCCAGCAGCCGCGGUAAUACGGAGGGUGCGAGCGUUAUCCGGAUUCACUGGGUUUAAAGGGUGCGCAGGCGGGCUUUUAAGUCAGCGGUGAAACCCGCGGGCUCAACCCGCGGACUGCCGAUGAUACUAGGGGCCUUGGAUGUCGCUGAGGGCAGCGGAAUGGGGCAUGUAGCGGUGAAAUGCAUAGAUAUGCCCCGGAACACCGAUUGCGGAGGCAGCUGCCUAAAGGACGAUCGACGUUGAGGCACGAAAGCGUGGGUAGCGAACAGGAUUAGAUACCCUGGUAGUCCACGCCCUAAACGAUGAUUACUCGACGUCCGCGGCAUACUGUGGGCGUCCAAGCGAAAGCAUUAAGUA
rnacentral:rRNA from 1 species